rnacentral:lncRNA from 1 species
CUUGACUGUUUGACAACGGGAUUCUUAUUCUGGGAAGAGUACAAAAGAGCCUGGAACCUCCCCGAUGAUACUUACAAAAAGAAGCAACCGUCAAACACAAGAAACUAAGUUCCACUGGGACAGAAAGACCUUCGACCUACUCCAGGUAAAGACCUUCGACCUACUCCAGGUAUGAGUCAGACAUUGGUGUCUUGGCCUGCACCUUUCCAGAGACAAAGAAAAAGGAGACUGAUGUUUCCUUGCUUAAGCUCCUCUCGCUAAGUGGUGGAAUGAGAACUUCUGACUCCAAGUCCAUUACUGAGAGCAGCCGUGGGAGACUGGAAGGAAGAAGGGGAGAGUCUGAAACAUCAGUUCAGAGUGCAGAGAACCUGAAAAUGCCAUCAGACCGGAACAUCAGACCAGAAUUCCUUCUAGUUUAGGUCAAAAGUCUGGAGUAGGUGUGGCUAUAUGACAUACAACCAGGAUGAUUAGAUCGACUUUCGGGCACACCUACUCACUUUGAAUUUUCUUGUGCAACUGAGCAUUUGCUCUCAAACUCCCAGCCUCUGAUGUCCUGUGAAGUUUCUGGGGUGGCAGAGUUGGAACCAACUUCAAACCAGUUUAAGUCUCUGAUUCAGUUCACAAACCCUCCCUCUCCAGCUCUGUGGUCAGUCUUUUGCAUCAGAGCCUACAAGCAUCUUUUUUUCUUUUGCGCUCCUUUGGGACCCCUCCCUCCACUCUCCCUCAGUCUCCCAACUCCUCUCUGCACUGCCUUUCCCCCUUAAUCUCUCCUGACCACGCCGUGUCUGCUACAUCCACUCCUCCCACCAUCAGGGUCUCUGUGCCUCUCUCCCCCGUGAGCCCCUCCGUCGUCCUCUCCCGGGCACCUACCUGGGCUCUGCAGCCACAGGCACCUCCUGGCUGCCCCUCUGAUUUCUUGGUUCUGUCUGUCUGGUGCCGCCUGCCUCCAUCCAGGGCCUGGGAGUCAUGAAAGUCUU